UAUUUUUCCGUGUGAAUGUUGUUUAUUUUGUUGCAGAAAAAAUUGGUGGUUUGGUGGAACCAGAAUGCUCUGGUUUUGGUGUGUUUUCUUCAAGUUUAAUUCAUUUUUGUGCUGAAAAUCAUGGCUUUGGAAGCGGAAAAAAUCUCGGAAAAAGUGGGUGCAGAACACCAUUAGCUCGAAAAUAAUUUAAUUUGAACGUGAUAUUGGUCAAUAUCGGAUUCUAGAUCCGGCCGAGGAUGUGGCUUCCUGGAUGCCCAAGGAAAAAGCAUAUGGACAAGCUGACUCAACUUUCCAUUUCCCAUAUUUGUUUUAACGGAAAACGAAAAAAAAAACAUUGUACA